rnacentral:rRNA from 1 species
CGAUGGGUCUUAGAUGAGACUCCGGCACUAUACGACUGUGUGUAGUUGUCUACAGUCAAGACGAUAGCAGCUGAGAGGUGUAACUGCCCACAUUGGACAUUGAAACCAGACCAGACUCCUACGGGAGGCAGCGUGGGGAAUAUGCACAUGGCCGCCAGCUGAAGCAGCGACGUCGCUGAGAGGGAUGUACGUCUUCCGGGUUGUAAACCUUUUUCAGUAGGGAAGAAGGCGAAAGUGACGGUACCUGCAGAAGAAGGGCCGGGCUAAUUACGUGCCAGCAGCCGCCGGUAAUACGUAGGGCGGCAAGCGUAUCCGGAAUUAUUGGGCGUAAAGAGCUGGUAGGCGGUUUGUCGCGUCUGCCGUGAAAGUCCGGGGCUCAACUCCGGAUCUGCGGUGGGUACGGGCAGACUAGAGUGAUGUAGGGGAGACUGGAAUUCCUGGUGUAGCGGUGAAAUGCGCAGAUAUCAGGAGGAACACCGAUGGCGAAGGCAGGUCUCUGGGCAUUAACUGACGCUGAGGAGCGAAAGCAUGGGGAGCGAACAGGAUUAGAUACCCUGGUAGUCCAUGCCGUAAACGUUGGGCACUAGGUGUGGGGGACAUUCCACGUUUUCCGCGCCGUAGCUAACGCAUUAAGUGCCCCGCCUGGGGAGUACGGCCGCAAGGCUAAAACUCAAAGGAAUUGACGGGGGCCCGCACAAGCGGCGGAGCAUGCGGAUUAAUUCGAUGCAACGCGAAGAACCUUACCAAGGCUUGACAUGGGCCGGAUCGCCGCAGAAAUGUGGUUUCCCCUUUGGGGCCGGUUCACAGGUGGUGCAUGGUUGUCGUCAGCUCGUGUCGUGAGAUGUUGGGUUAAGUCCCGCAACGAGCGCAACCCUCGUUCCAUGUUGCCAGCGCGUAAUGGCGGGGACUCAUGGGAGACUGCCGGGGUCAACUCGGAGGAAGGUGGGGACGACGUCAAAUCAUCAUGCCCCUUAUGUCUUGGGCUUCACGCAUGCUACAAUGGCCGGUACAAAGGGUUGCGAUACUGUGAGGUGGAGCUAAUCCCAAAAAGCCGGUCUCAGUUCGGAUUGGGGUCUGCAACUCGACCCCAUGAAGUCGGAGUCGCUAGUAAUCGCAGAUCAGCAACGCUGCGGUGAAUACGUUCCCGGGCCUUGUACACACCGCCCGUCAAGUCACGAAAGUUGGUAACACUACGAAGCCGGUGGCCUUACCCAUUGUGGGAGGGAGCCGUUGAAGGUGGAACGAACAAUCG